rnacentral:rRNA from 1 species
UACGGAGGGUGCGAGCGUUGUCCGGAAUCACUGGGCGUAAAGGGCGCGUAGGCGGCGCGGAAAGUCAACGGUGAAAGCUUGGGGCUCAACCCCGAGUCGGCCGUCGAUACUUCCGUGCUCGAGCACUGUAGAGGCAGGUGGAAUUCCGGGUGUAGCGGUGGAAUGCGUAGAGAUCCGGAAGAACACCGGUGGCGAAGGCGGCCUGCUGGGCAGUUGCUGACGCUGAUGCGCGAAAGCGUGGGGAGCAAACAGG